GGGUUGUGAGGUUAAGCGACUAAGCGUACACGGUGGAUGCCCCGCAGUCAGAGGCGAUGAAGGGCGUGCUAAUCUGCGAUAAGCGCCGGUAAGGUGAUAUGAACCGUUAUAACCGGCGAUACCCGAAUGGGGAAACCCAGUGUGAUUCGUCACACUAUCAUUAACUGAAUCCAUAGGUUAAUGAGGCGAACCGGGGGAACUGAAACAUCUAAGUACCCCGAGGAAAAGAAAUCAACCGAGAUUCCCCCAGUAGCGGCGAGCGAACGGGGAGGAGCCCAGAGCCUGAAUCAGCAUGUGUGUUAGUGGAAGCGUCUGGAAAGGCGCGCGAUACAGGGUGACAGCCCCGUACACAAAAGCGCAUGUGCUGUGAGCUCGAUGAGUAGGGCGGGACACGUGGUAUCCUGUCUGAAUAUGGGGGGACCAUCCUCCAAGGCUAAAUACUCCUGACUGACCGAUAGUGAACCAGUACCGUGAGGGAAAGGCGAAAAGAACCCCGGCGAGGGGAGUGAAAAAGAACCUGAAACCGUGUACGUACAAGCAGUGGGAGCACCCUUCGGGGUGUGACUGCGUACCUUUGUAUAAUGGGUCAGCGACUUAUAUUCUGUAGCAAGGUUAACCGUAUAGGGGAGCCGCAGGGAAACCGAGUCUUAACCGGGCGUUAAGUUGCAGGGUAUAGACCCGAAACCCGGUGAUUCAGCCAUGGGCAGGUUGAAGGUUGGGUAACACUAACUGGAGGACCGAACCGACUAAUGUUGAAAAAUUAGCGGAUGACCUGUGGCUGGGGUGAAAGGCCAAUCAAACCGGGAGAUAGCUGGUUCUCCCCGAAAGCUAUUUAGGUAGCGCCUCGUGAAUUCAUCUCCGGGGUAGAGCACUGUUUCGGCUAGGGGGCCAUCCCGGCUUACCAACCCGAUGCAAACUGCGAAUACCGGAGAAUGUUAUCACGGGAGACACACGGCGGGUGCUAACGUCCGUCGUGAAGAGGGAAACAACCCAGACCGCCAGCUAAGGUCCCAAAGUCAUGGUUAAGUGGGAAACGAUGUGGGAAGGCCCAGACAGCCGGAUGUUGGCUUAGAAGCAGCCAUCAUUUAAAGAAAGCGUAAUAGCUCACUGGUCGAGUCGGCCUGCGCGGAAGAUGUAACGGGGCUAAACCAUGCACCGAAGCUGCGGCAGCGACGCUUAUGCGUUGUUGGGUAGGGGAGCGUUCUGUAAGCCUGCGAAGGUGGCCUGUGAGGGUUGCUGGAGGUAUCAGAAGUGCGAAUGCUGACAUAAGUAACGAUAAAGCGGGUGAAAAGCCCGCUCGCCGGAAGACCAAGGGUUCCUGUCCAACGUUAAUCGGGGCAGGGUGAGUCGACCCCUAAGGCGAGGCCGAAAGGCGUAGUCGAUGGGAAACGGGUUAAUAUUCCCGUACUUGGUGUUACUGCGAAGGGGGACGGAGAAGGCUAUGUUGGCCGGGCGACGGUUGUCCCGGUUUAAGCGUGUAGGUGUGUGUUCCGGUAAAUCCGGUUCACUUUAACACUGAGGCGUGACGACGAGGCACUACGGUGCUGAAGCAACAAAUGCCCUGCUUCCGGAAAGCCUCUAAGCAUCAGGUAACAUCAAAUCGUACCCCAAACCGACACAGGUGGUCAGGUAGAGAAUACCAAGGCGCUUGAGAGAACUCGGGUGAAGGAACUAGGCAAAAUGGUGCCGUAACUUCGGGAGAAGGCACGCUGACACGUAGGUGAAGUGAUUUACUCAUGGAGCUGAAGUCAGUCGAAGAUACCAGCUGGCUGCAACUGUUUAUUAAAAACACAGCACUGUGCAAACACGAAAGUGGACGUAUACGGUGUGACGCCUGCCCGGUGCCGGAAGGUUAAUUGAUGGGGUCAGCGCAAGCGAAGCUCCUGAUCGAAGCCCCGGUAAACGGCGGCCGUAACUAUAACGGUCCUAAGGUAGCGAAAUUCCUUGUCGGGUAAGUUCCGACCUGCACGAAUGGCGUAAUGAUGGCCAGGCUGUCUCCACCCGAGACUCAGUGAAAUUGAACUCGCUGUGAAGAUGCAGUGUACCCGCGGCAAGACGGAAAGACCCCGUGAACCUUUACUAUAGCUUGACACUGAACAUUGAGCCUUGAUGUGUAGGAUAGGUGGGAGGCUUUGAAGUGUGGACGCCAGUCUGCGUGGAGCCGACCUUGAAAUACCACCCUUUAAUGUUUGAUGUUCUAACGUGGACCCGUGAUCCGGGUUGCGGACAGUGUCUGGUGGGUAGUUUGACUGGGGCGGUCUCCUCCUAAAGAGUAACGGAGGAGCACGAAGGUUGGCUAAUCCUGGUCGGACAUCAGGAGGUUAGUGCAAUGGCAUAAGCCAGCUUGACUGCGAGCGUGACGGCGCGAGCAGGUGCGAAAGCAGGUCAUAGUGAUCCGGUGGUUCUGAAUGGAAGGGCCAUCGCUCAACGGAUAAAAGGUACUCCGGGGAUAACAGGCUGAUACCGCCCAAGAGUUCAUAUCGACGGCGGUGUUUGGCACCUCGAUGUCGGCUCAUCACAUCCGGGGCUGAAGUAGGUCCCAAGGGUAUGGCUGUUCGCCAUUUAAAGUGGUACGCGAGCUGGGUUUAGAACGUCGUGAGACAGUUCGGUCCCUAUCUGCCGUGGGCGCUGGAGAACUGAGGGGGGCUGCUCCUAGUACGAGAGGACCGGAGUGGACGCAUCACUGGUGUUCGGGUUGUCAUGCCAAUGGCACUGCCCGGUAGCUAAAUGCGGAAGAGAUAAGUGCUGAAAGCAUCUAAGCACGAAACUUGCCCCGAGAUGAGUUCUCCCUGAGACUUUAGGUCUCCUGAAGGAACGUUGAAGACGACGACGUUGAUAGGCCGGGUGUGUAAGCGCAGCGAUGCGUUGAGCUAACCGGUACUAAUGAACCGUGAGGCUUAACCUUACAACGCCGAAG
rnacentral:rRNA from 1 species